GGGUUGUGAGGUUAAGCGACUAAGCGUACACGGUGGAUGCCCUGGCAGUCAGAGGCGAUGAAGGACGUGCUAAUCUGCGAUAAGCGUCGGUGAGGUGAUAUGAACCGUUAUAACCGGCGAUUUCCGAAUGGGGAAACCCAGUGUGUUUCGACACACUAUCAUUAACUGAAUCCAUAGGUUAAUGAGGCGAACCUGGGGAACUGAAACAUCUAAGUACCCCGAGGAAAAGAAAUCAACCGAGAUUCCCCCAGUAGCGGCGAGCGAACGGGGAGGAGCCCAGAGCCUGAAUCAGUGUGUGUGUUAGUGGAAGUGUCUGGAAAGGCGCGCGAUACAGGGUGACAGCCCCGUACACAAAAAUGCACAUGCUGUGAGCUCGAUGAGUAGGGCGGGACACGUGGUAUCCUGUCUGAAUAUGGGGGGACCAUCCUCCAAGGCUAAAUACUCCUGACUGACCGAUAGUGAACCAGUACCGUGAGGGAAAGGCGAAAAGAACCCCGGCGAGGGGAGUGAAAAAGAACCUGAAACCGUGUACGUACAAGCAGUGGGAGCCUCUUAAUGGGGUGACUGCGUACCUUUUGUAUAAUGGGUCAGCGACUUAUAUUCUGUAGCAAGGUUAACCGAAUAGGGGAGCCGAAGGGAAACCGAGUCUUAACUGGGCGUUAAGUUGCAGGGUAUAGACCCGAAACCCGGUGAUCUAGCCAUGGGCAGGUUGAAGGUUGGGUAACACUAACUGGAGGACCGAACCGACUAAUGUUGAAAAAUUAGCGGAUGACUUGUGGCUGGGGGUGAAAGGCCAAUCAAACCGGGAGAUAGCUGGUUCUCCCCGAAAGCUAUUUAGGUAGCGCCUCGUGAAUUCAUCUCCGGGGGUAGAGCACUGUUUCGGCAAGGGGGUCAUCCCGACUUACCAACCCGAUGCAAACUGCGAAUACCGGAGAAUGUUAUCACGGGAGACACACGGCGGGUGCUAACGUCCGUCGUGAAGAGGGAAACAACCCAGACCGCCAGCUAAGGUCCCAAAGUCAUGGUUAAGUGGGAAACGAUGUGGGAAGGCCCAGACAGCCAGGAUGUUGGCUUAGAAGCAGCCAUCAUUUAAAGAAAGCGUAAUAGCUCACUGGUCGAGUCGGCCUGCGCGGAAGAUGUAACGGGGCUAAACCAUG
rnacentral:rRNA from 1 species